ACGAUCAGCAACGUAAAAGUCCACCUACAUUCAAAUUUUUGGAAGAUCAUUAAAUUUCAGGUUAAAAACACAAAUACGGUUCAUAGAUAUACACACGUAAAGAACUUACUCGGUGUAAUAGACAAAGAUGGAGUAGUUGUAAAGAAGGACAUCCCAGGUUAAAAAUAUGCAGAGAACGACUAAAGAUACAAAACGUGUAGCCAAAAGGCAUACAGGAUGAAUCCCACGCCAAUAACUACUUGACCAACUCCCAAUCUCCACUGCUGAUGGCGACGACGACUGAUUGCAGCCCUGCUGGGGCAAAAGGAUCUCAUGACAACCAACAAUGUUGUGGUCGUCAAUAUGAUCACCAUUAAGUGUUUGGUAACGCUGUUGCUUAAUUUUGCAGCAGCAAAGCACGUAAAGGGCGCCAGACAUAGCGAUGCCUACUAUGCCGAAACAAAUAAAAUCAUACCACUGUAUCAAAGUUCCUGCCAUAGCUAGUUGCAGAUCGAUACGCUAGCCUAGCUACCCUGGGAAUUUUGGGGUGAGCUCUGCAGCCACCUAAUUAUAUCUUUAGCCAUUGUUAAAUUUAACAUAUUUUAAGUUGCUAAUAAGGAAGACUAUCUGGUGGUACAGCAGCAUGUUGUUCUUGUUUCAUGUAUACGACUGGUAGCUUUGACUGUUUGACAGCAGAACUUUAGCUUGCUUUAAUUAUCUUUUCUUUAAUAGACAUCAGUAUUCCUUUUCUUGUUACUUUUUUUCCAGACUAAAAGCUAGUAGUAUAAAUUGAUUUAUUACUCUUUAAUCUUUUUAUGGUAUGUUAUGAUGCUAUGACGUUGAACAAAGUCGUAAAGCCCAAGAGAAAGAGGAAUCGGUGCCGCAAUAGUAUUUGUGUGCGCACCUACGACAUUGACGAGUACAAGGGAAAGAUAAGUAAGAAUCAAGAAGAAAAACUAAGGUCUCGUUGAAAGAAAAAGAGAAAGGGAAAGUUAAUUAAUAACGAUGUGUAUGUUGAACGGAGCACAACUUAAAUGCUUCAAUGGUGAAUUUACUAAUUGAAAAUUAGUUGUUAUAUACAGCUAAUAAAAUGAGAUACAUGUUCCAUACAACAAAGAGCACCAAACUGAGCCCAUUCUCUUUGCCAACCAAUUAUAUGUACAGAAAACCCACCCAAAAACAGAUGGAAGAAAGAAAAAACAUCCACAAAGGUUGGCUUUUAUCCCUGCAGAAUCAUCUAAAACUCAACGGCUUCCACUGUUGUCCAAAAAAAACAUCCACAAAGGUUGGCUUAAAGAAAAAACAUCCACAAAGGUUGGCUUCUAUCCCUUGCAUAAUCCUCUAAACUCAAUGGCUUCCACUGUUGUCCAACCAACUCUGUAAGCUGCACAAGGCUUCUGCAGAGAAGCUGCAGCAUCUUAAUCGCCUCUGUCGUGGCUGUGAUGGUUCAGAAAGAUCAAUAGAAGUAAAGCAAACAAUUACCACAGUAAGAUUGUCGAAAGUAUUGAGCCGCAGGGCCUCCAUGACAAGAUCCUUGGCACACUGUUCAGGAUCAUCAUGCCGUCUCAGACCACGACGUACAAGAUUAACCGCUUGUUGACUUGACAUAACAUCCCAGAUCCCAUCACAACCAAUUAUAAGGAAUUCAUCAUCCUCGCUCAAGAAAAUCUGUCUGAAUUCAGGCUCUGCUAUCAGAGGAGAGGCAGAGCCAUGAGGCAGUUUCAUGUCCCAGUCCCCUAAGGCCCUAGUCACUGAUAGGACACCAUUGAGAUAGCCAUCAUCAAUAAAUCCGCCCAACUCUUCGACACGCCUUCUCUCCGAUGCAUAAUUCGGUCUAUGGUCUUGAGACAUAUUAAUCGCGUCUCCCUUAUGGCAAAGAACUGCUCGGCAGUCUCCCACAUUUGCCACCAUUAGAAGCCUAGAAGAGGACGGAGUAGCAGUUUAAUUAACAAGAAUACAGUAAAAAAACGCAGGUUCCAAAAUUUUCAUAUAACAGAAUCAAAUUCUAUGGUCCUCCCUAGCUCCCUGCAAUUUCUCAAGUUCUAUAGUCAUCUAUGGUUCGAUACUUGGCAAAGAAAUUCUGCGGAACUCAAAAAUAAGGACAGGUUGAUCUCUCAUCCAUCAAACAGCAUCCUCGACUAAGGAAUGAAUAACUUAUAUUACCCGCUUAAAGAACUGAACACCGUAUGAUGCGGCUAGAGUGACAGGAAAUAAGAUUGAGAACAUAAAAGGGCUACAAGUGAGGCCCAGAGGCAAUCAUGAACAUGACCAUUUUUGUACAAAAGGAAAAGCAUUUACGUGCGAAUACAUAAUAUUAAAAAUUUACCUUCCCAAUACCAGAGCUGUCAAUGCAGUAGUUCCAGAGGAACUACACACAUUACACUCAUCAGCCAAAGCAAGGUCAGCAAGAAGAAACCCUUCUCUUAGAGAGCUUUCCACCUCUAUUAAAAAUGCCUCAUCAACUUCUGAUGCCUGAGGGAAAUUGGCCUCCUCAAAAAGGAAUCUGAGAACAUGUUUUCUCACAUAAGCUGCUGCCUCAGGUCCUCCAUGACCAUCAAAUACCUACAAGAUAGUGAACACGAAUCAGUUAGACAAGCUCCCCAAUGACCAAUGUAUAAUAUUCCAGAAGUGAAAAUUACCCCAUAGAAGGCACAAGGCUGAGAAAACCUGACUAGGGAGCCUAGAUGUUCAGAAAGAUCAUCUAUCCUUAUAUGCUCAUCUUCCAUGAACCUCCGUGGGCCAAUAUCAGCAAAACUACCUGAACGAAUGCUAGGAACAAACUGCAAAGUUGUAGUAUCUGGGGAUUUAAAAUCCUGGAAGAAAGAAUUGACAGACACAUCAUCUCAAAAACGACAAAAGAAGGUUUAACACCGAGCACUAAUUAUAAUGUACAUAUUUAGCACAAAUAUUGUUGAACAUCGAGAAAGGUACAUCAGCUGAAUACACUUAACUUUAAAGGAAGCCCCAAAAGUGGAGGGAUUCCUCUCUUCCACUCAAAAAGAAUAAAAUAUUAACUGGUCAUAACAGGCUUCACUCUGCACAUGAUGUGGGCAAAUUGAUUGUUCGUCGAAGAGGGAUGUGGCUGAACAGUAUAGCAACACAAUUAACCAGAACAUGGACCUCUAGGCUAACACUAGUGCGGAUUCUUGUCAUUACGAAAAUCAAGCUUGGUCCUAAAAUACUUCAAUCUUGCAAUGUCUCUGAUAUGUUUCAAAAUAUAUUAACCUUGCGAAGAGCUCAAAAUGACAUGGCAUGGUUCAUAUGCAAAGGUAAAUCUGGAACAGAAAGAUGAACACCAUAGGAGAACAGACCUAAUCCAUCUUCCCUACCCUGCAGGUCAUCUGUCCCCCCUCCACGCCCCACCCACCCCCAAAAGAAACACUUACAUUACCUUUUGGUUCCAAAGAGACAUGUAUCAGUAACUCUGUACUCCUGUGCCCAAUUGCAAUAUACACAGUACUAAAUAAAUUUGGUUUUGUGGCCUCAACUGUUCCAGAAAUAUCAAAACCACAACAUACUUAAAUGCUAUGACAAUCAUUGUUGUAAAUAUCCUACACGUUUCCCCUCCCUCCACCGAAAACAUUUCAAGAAGAAAGGUGUCAGAAAUGAGGAAAAAAGUUGUGAAUGCCUAGAGAAUGCUGAUAAAAAAUGAGAAGAAACAUGUCCAUGCUUGAGAAUGCCAAGGCAAUCUUUUUCUAGUAGACCAAUCGACAGCCCAAGAUUUAACGUUUUGAGUGGACUUCUAUCAUCACAGUGUUGUGAAAAUGCAACCUUAAAAAGCCACUGAUCGAACUAAAAGAACGAGAACAAUUUCAAAGAAACAAAGAGAAAAACUGAUACCCAUGCGAUUGAGCUUUACAAACAUAUCUAAGCACAUUUUACUGUUGCAGACAGAAGGUAGCUCCACUUUAUCGAAGAGUCAAUCUACUUCUUGCGUAAUUAAUAUGUUCAUUAACACUUAGAUACCUUACGAACUGCAUUGAAGUGCAUCUUUCCCUGUUAUGGAGAAGAGGCUCAAUAAGUGACGUUUACAUAAGACUAACACUAUGGCUUUGCCUAAUUAAGCACACAAAAUUAACACUUAAAGGAGCUUCACAGCAACGUUUCAGCGCAGAUUUCCCUAUUGUAGAAGAAAGACCCAGUAGACUCCUCUAUACACGAGCCAAGCAACUGCUUUUCCUAAUUAGAAUACAAGGAGCUUUACAAGCAACAUUCUAAAGCAUAAAUUUUCUCUUUGAACACCAUGAAACAUUCUUGCUUUGUGUAGUUGCCAUCCUCCAAAUUCCACUGGAAGAGGCACCUUAGAUAUGAUAUUAACUAUACUUAUCAAUAGCAUGUGAUAAUACCAACAGGAAAACUUGGGCAAUCAUUGUAGCUUCAAUAAAUAACCUGAACAUAACAAUAACCACUAUGCACAAAAAUUUGAGCCUUUUUCUAGUGUUCUCCUGCAGACAUACGCUAGACCUUUUUUAAGAUUGUGACCGAGAAAUCCAUUUGGGGCCAAACCUUAUGACCAACUGCCACCUUCAACUUUCGGGGCAUAUGGGUUCGUCCUUCUUCCCUUCUCCACUUAAAUACAAAGCUAAUUUCGCAUGCCGUAGGGCUCGAAUAUAUGACCUAAGACAAAACCUUUGCCGACAUACUCGGGACAUGUUCUCAUGUAAUGACUCUUAUGAUAGUAUGAAAGCUCCUAAGUUAGUCAUAAAUGACUUAACACUUAAAGCCAAGACCUGAAUAGGUCAGAUGUUCAACACUUCACAUAUAACUCCUUCCUAAAAUCUAAAGAUACCCAACAACUAAGCUUAAAUAAGUUGAAACUAGACAAACAUGUUUUCCUUUUAUUGCUUCCCUUUAUAGUUCCGAAACAUUCUAUAAGCAUUUAUGAGGUAAUAAUUCGAAGUCUAGGGUGUUAAAUAUUAUUCUUUAAAAAUCAAAUCUUCAAUUAAAUAUAAAGCACGGGACUUCACACUGAAAAACAUGCUCUUUUCGCUAAUUCUUCAAAGAUCACAAGGUAGGUAUCCCAAAAAACGUAAAAAAACACAAUUAAAAAGCAAAAGGGGAAAGUAAAGAAGAAUGUUAAAAGAGAAAAACGAACCACAUCAGAACAGCAGGGGAUAUCUAAGACCGUGGUGAUGGUCUGUUGUACUGGUAAAAUAACCUCAGCUUCAGCUCCCAUCUUUAAAAGUCCACAACUUUUGCGAUCAUAACACAAAAAUAAACAACUGAAUUGGGGCUUCUUCUCGAAACAAAAAAAGAGAAAAUUUUGACCAAAUGAAAGUAAGAAUUCGAGGAGUUUUGGGAGUUUGUGGAAGUUUUUAUUGGUGUGUGUGGAAACGGCAAAUACCAAACUUGGCACAAGCACAAGUGGGGUUGAACUUGGAUAUAUAAGAAGCGGUGACCGGCGGUGGGUAACCGGCGGUAAAAUGUAAAAAGUCGUAGAGUAGGUGGACACGUGUAUGUAAUGUGGGUACGUCCACGCUCAGUAUUUUGGGUUAGUUCGUUGAGCAAAACGCACACGAAAAUGUAAUGGCAUGACCCCUUGAGGAAAGCGAAUCAAUAAGGAAAGGAAACUUCGGUUGCUGGACACGUGACUGUUUCUUCUACCACUUGUGUGACUUCUUCAAACCGUGUGUCUUCGCUUCUCUUUUAAGGGGAAAAAGAUGUACUUCCUUCGUUAUAGAAUCUUUUCAUAGUACGAAAGUUAAAUUACUAAAUUUUUGUUUAAAUUUGCAUAUAAUUUUUUCUACAGUUUGUUUGGAUGAUUGUUAUAUAUAUUUUUUAUAAUAUAUCGUGUUAUAGUAUAAUAUAUUGUAUUGCAUUUGUUUGACCCUAAAUUUAGACCUGAAUUUAAACUAUUAAAUAAAUAAUUUUCACCAAUACUAAUAUCCAAGUGAUGUACUGAUCAAUAUUCGGGAUGAUAGUACAAGUAUAAUCAAUAUAGCAAUAAAUGGUGACACUAAUGUUACGUUCAAUGAUCCAAAAAUGAAGGGGACUGCAAUAAAUAAUAAUCAAUGACAUUUACGUAAAUAAAAGCAUAUGAGUCAUCCGGAAAGGAUGAGAUUCUUUCGUAUUCUUUCUGAUAAUGAUUAAUAAUUGAUGAACUUUGAAUGUUUUGAUUCUUCUUGGAUCGUGGGGAAAAAGUUAGACAAAAAUUUCAAGAAAAAAGUACAUUUUAUAUGUGUGUGAUAAAGCGAGAUUAUUGAAAAAAUGUUAAUGUAUUCUCUUAUAAAUGAGUAUUCAAUGUGUCCUAUAACUAAGUCUCUUUCUCUUUAUAAGGGAACAUGUGCCAAAAUUCCUAAUAGUAUAACCACAAAGAAUAUCUACUAGAAUAUUCUCUUUAGAAUCUUAUCCUAAAACUAGCCGUUAUUGCACUGUUCAAGAUGAGUGCUCUUCCUCGACAGGGUUAUUCAAAAGUGAAACAUAACCGUAAACGAACAGAAACGAUGACUUAUUGGCUUAUUGAUAUCGGGUUACUUUGUAACUUUGUGAGCCUAGUCUGAUAGGGUUUUGUCUCAGGUAACUAGGGGCAACAUGUUUUGCGCAUAUUUCAGGUUAGGGACUGUGGCUAUUAGUGGUGAGCGGGACGUGCCUGUGAAAACAUAAGGAGCAAUCCUGGCAAGGGUCAACGAGGGGCGGCAGAAGUUGGACAUAAACGUGCUAGGUGGACGCAACAUCAUUGUAUAUACCAAGACAAUUCCUAGGUUCCACUUGUGGGAGUUGGUACCUCCUGUUUUACUUUUUCCCUUUAUUGUGUUAGUUAAAAUGUUGCAAUCUUAGUUCCUAUUAGUUUAUUCACAGUAUUAGUACCCGUAUAAUUGCAGCCUGUCUUUGUCUAGCGUGGUAUGUUGCCUUGUAUGUGUUAGUGAUUUUCCCUUAGUUUGGCAUAGGUGUAGUGGUUGUGGUUUGGGAUAGUCGAGUAAGGUCAUAUCUUCAGGGGGAGCAGGGGUGGUGCAGGGGUUAGGGGGUGGGUCAGGAGGCAAGGGAGGUAAAGGAAACAGGGGUGUCUAUAGGUUAAGAAUCGGGUCAUGUAACAUAGGUACAUUUACGAGUAAGUCUAUAGAGUUUGCGAAGAUUCUCCAAAAGAAGAGGGUCAAUAUAGCGUGUGUCCAGGAGACUAGGUGGAUAGGAUCGAGGGCGAAGGAUGUAGACAGGUAUAAACUUUGGUACUUAGGAGUCUAGAGAGGUAAGAAUGGAGUAGGUUUCUUGGUGGAUAGGAAACUUAGAGAGUUUGUGGUUGCGAUUAAAUGAGUGAAUGCUAGAUUGAUGUUUAUUAAGUUGGUGGUUGGAGAUUACACCAUGAACGUCAUUAGCGCCUAUAUGCUGCAUAGGGGCCUAGAUGAGGAGGUUAAACGACGCUUCUGGGAGGGGUUAGAUGAGAUUGUGUGCUAGGUUCCGCCUGCUUAGAAGCUAUUCAUAUGAGGGGAUUUCAAAGGUCAUAUUCGGGUGACCACAGGUGGCUAUGGCGAGAUGUAUGGAGGCUUUGGUUUUGGGGAGAGGAACGGAGAAGAUACCUUGCUGUUGGACUUCGCUAAGACUUUUGGGUUGGUGAUUGCAAACUCUAGCUUUCUGAAGAGGAAAGAGCAUUUGGUUACUUCUAAAAAAAGCGGUAGCAAAGACACAGAUUGACUAUCUCCUCCUUAGGAGGUAUGACAGCGGUUGUGCAAGGACUACAAGGUGAUUUUGAGUGAGAUACUCGCAACGCAUCAUAGACUUUUGGUGCCAGACAUUGGUGUUAGGAUAAAGAGGAGGAAAAGGUCUGCUUGGGGUAAACCAAGAAUUAGGUGGGGGACCUUGAAUAAGGAUAAAGCCCAAGUGUUGGAGUUCCGUCUAUCGGCUAUAGGAGCUUGGAGGAGCAGUGGGGAUGUGAACACUAUGUGGUCAGCAAAAACAAACUGAUAAGACAAUCUGCGAGAGAGGUGUUAGGGGUCUCGACCGGUGUCUCUGGUGGGAACAAAUGAGACUGGUGGUGGAAUGAAGUGGUCCAAGGUAAAGCGGAAGCAAACAAGGCGGCAAACCUGAAGUUAGUGGGGAGCAUAGGUGAGGGGGAUAGGAGAGCAUGCAUGGAAAGAUAUAAGGUAGCUAGGAAGGAAGCUAAACUAUCGGUCAUGGAGGCUAAGACUGUGGCUUAUAGUUCUAUGUACGAGGAACUGGGGGAAAAAGGCGGGGAGACGAAGUUAUUCCGGAUAUCGAAGUUGAGAGAGAUGACGACUCAAGAUUUGGACCAAGAGAAAUGCAUUCAGGACGAAGGUAGUAGAAUACUGGUGGAAGAUGUCUAGAAUAAGAUGAGAUGUCAGACUUACUAUCAUAAACUUCUGAAUAAAAAAGGGGAUUGUGAUAUUAUGCUAGGCGAAUUUGAGCAUUCUAAUAGUUAUUGUGACUUUGGGACUGCAAGCGUAUUGAGGUCGAGGAGUUUGUGGGGGCUAUACAUAAAAUGAGUAGGGGCAAAGCGACCGGGCCAGACAAGAUUCCGGUAGAAUUUUGGAAGUGUGUAGGGAGAGCAGGUGUGGAGUAGUUGACUUGGUUGUUUAAAGUUAUUUUUAAGGCGAAUAGGAUGCCGGAUAAGUGGAGGUGGAGUACGGUGGUUCCAUUGUAUCAGCACAAAGGUGAUAUCUAGAGUUUUUACAACUAUAGGGGUAUCAAAUUACUAAGUCAUACCUUGAAAGUAUGGGAGAAGGUGGUUGAAGCGAGGGUCAAGAUGACAGCGUCUAUAUCCGACAACCAGUUUGGGUUCAUGCCAGGUUGUUCCACCACAGAAUAUGUACACCUUGUUAAGAGGUUGGUGGAACUGUACAGAGAGAGAAAGAAGGAUCUGCACAUGGUGCUUAUUGACCUAGAGAAAGCAUAUGACAAGGUUCCUAAAGAAGUUCUCUGGAGCUUCUUGGAGACAAAAGGUGUGUCGGUUCCUUAUAUUAUGGUAAUUAAGUACAUGUCUGAUGCGGCUAAGACUCAUGUUAGGAUAGUAGGAGGAAACUUUGACCAUUUUAUUGAAAUGGGGUUACACCAAGGCUCUGAUCUUAGUCCGUUCUUAUUUGCCCUGGUGAUGGAUGUGAUAACAAACCAUACCAAGGGGAGGUGACAUGGUACAUGCUAUUUGCUGAUGACAUAGUUCUGAAUUAUGAGUCGCGAGCCGGAGUUAACAAAAGAUUAGAAGUUUGGAGACAGACUCUUAAGUCUAAAGGUUUCAAGUUAAGUAGAACGAAGAUAGAAUACCUCGAGUGUAAGUUCAGCGCCUCGCCAGAGAAAGUGGACGUGGAUGUGAGGCUUGAGUCACAGGUUAUCCCAAGUAAAGGCAACUUCAAGUACCUUUGUUCGGUUAUCCAAGGGGAUGAGAGAUUGGAGAGGAUGUCACAAACCGUAUUGGGUAGGAUGGAUGAAAUGAAGGUUAGCAUCUGGAGUCUUGUGUGACAAAAGAGUGCUAACGAUAGUUAAAGGUAAGUUCUAUAAAGCGAUGGUUAGACCAGCCAUGAUUUAUGGGGCUGAGUGUUGGCCUGUUAAGAACUCACAUAUCCAAAAGAUAAAAGUAGCAGAAAUGAGGAUUUUGAGGUGGAUAUGCGGGCACACUAGGAUGGAUAAGAUUAGGAAUGCUUAUAUUUGGGAGAAGGUGUACGUGGCUCCAAUUGAUGAUAAGAUGCGGGAAGCGAGGCUUAGAUGGUUCGAGCAGGUACAGAAGAGACACCCAGAUGCUCCAGUGAAGAGGUGUGAGUGGCUGGUUGUGGAAAGCAUGAGAAGAGGUAGAGGGAGGCCUAAGAAGUAUUGGGGAGAGGUAAUCAGACAAGAUAUGGUGAUGCUUCAAAUUUUCGAGAACAUAGUAUUACUCUUGUAGGCUAGGAUGUAGUUGAGUCUUGCAUUACUUUGUACCUUUGUGAGCCUAGUCCAAUAGGGUUUUGUCUAAGAUAGCUCGGGCAAUAUCAUGUCUUACUAUUUUCUAUUUUCGACGCAGGAUCCAUUUACUAGCCAUCAUUUUUGCUUUGCAUUUUAUGUUCCUAUUUUUCCUAUGAUAUCCGUGAUGAAUCUAAUAUUCUCUCCUUUUGUCUUUUUAUUAUCUAUAGCCGAGGGUCUUUCGGAAACAACCUCUCUAUCCUUUCGGGGUAGGGUUAAGGUCGGCAUACAGACUACCCUUCCCAGAUCCCACUUGUAAAAUUUUACUAGGUUGUUGUUGUUUGUUGUUUACCGGGGUAAUGGAUAGUUAACGAAUUAAGAUUUUAUAAUUAAGACAUAAUGGUUUGGCGGCAUAUUACUCAAUCUUCUUAUCGGAUAAACCGUUAACCUGUUAAGAAUUUUUAUAUUUACACCUUGACCUUUAUUGAAUUUUCAAAGAUUUGUUCCAGAGUAAUAGAUCCCACUGUAUACUAUGCACAUGUUGUAUAUGAUAACAACAUAUACAUUAGAAUAGAAAAAGUGCAACAAGAUGCUAUGAUAAAAGAAAAGCCUAUGGGAAGUGAUCAUAAUCCUUUUCUUCUCUGCUCUAUUCUUGUUAUUUGGCUUGAUAAUUAAGGUUGCUGCUUUAUUUAGGUGUAGUGAUUGAGAUAGUCUUAUAUCCUACAUGUACAUAAUAUAUUAUGGGAAUUAUUGUCAUGUGAAGAGAAAGUGCCUCGAAUAUACACUAGAACAACAUAUGAUCGAGUUGUGAAGCUAGAGCAGCAAGAUGCUAUGGUAAAAAAAAUUCUAUUUAGUUUAGCAAAUAAACUGCCCGAUAAUUGAUAAUAUGAUACCAAUCCACCAUUUGUCAUAUUGGAUGGUUAGUAGAUUAUUAAAUUUAGUAUUCGAUAACCGAUAAGCUAAACCAUUUAACGUAAUUAUCCAUCCGAUCUUCCCGAUAUGCACCCCUAGUCCUCGACCUUGAUCUAUGAUGACUCCUCGAACCCGCCCUUAAUAUCUUAUCAGACCACUUCGACCUUGAGCAUAACUUUUGCCGAUGUCAUACUGGUGACAUGUGGCUUCUCUUUGAAGGCCCUCUUAAUGCUGAUAUGGUUUAACAAUAACUAAGAUAAUCUUUAGCACAUAUAGUUAGUCUCUCUACUUAUUGAGGUCGUCUUCAUAGGCAAGUUCGAUGAGCGGAUAAUGUCGUUCAUGGUCGAGCUUAUUGAACAGAUACCACAGGUCAUAGUCGUUGUAGCAAGUAGUUGACAUGGCUCUUUAUGGGCCGCAUAAUUCAAAUCCCUUAAAUUUCUCGGAUGAUUUGUUAGAGCUAUCUGAUCCAAGAGAGGAGGUGACAUCAUGAAGUCAUGCAUCAUGAUGAUGCAUAUUCACGACGCAUUACGUUAAUUUGUGUGUGACCUUUGAUGGGAUCUACCGUUUCAAUUCCAGUGCUAAUCAUGAUGACCCGUUCUGGGUUUGGUGUCCAUUAUGACAAACCUUUUCGGAUUGUUGCCUCAAUCUCUAGAAAUAGGAUAAUCAAACCUGAAUUUGAAAUUUUUACUCUCCCAAACUUUUGAGAUUUCAAACUCUCUCUCUAAAACCCUAUCCCCUAUAUCUUUCCUCUCAUCCCUGUUUCUUUCUUUAUUUCCUUUCUUAUAAACAUGUAAAAGUUAUCAUCUAAUGCUGGUGAAGGAAGUCGCACCGCUCCCUUGGUGGUUGUGUUUCCUACUAAUGGGUAGAAUAUUGAUGCCAUUGUUGAGGAUGUGGAUUUUCUGUCGGUGUAGGAGAUACUUCCCCGUAACCCCGAAGCCAGGUCUAAUCUUCACCGAUCAUCGGACACGAUGCCUGGCAUUUCCUAUCGACGAUGGCAUCCUAACAAUUGGCAGACUUCAAAGCCAAGUUCGGCCGCCCCAACCACAUCGAACGGAUCCCUGCUGAAGGGGAUGAAGUACAUGUUCACAGCCCAGGGUACUGCGCUCUAUACACUUACCCAUUCCUUAUUGGUUACUCAUUUCCUCCUUCUCCAUUAGUGGAAAAGUUUUUCCACCACUACGGUGUUUGUCCCACUGAGUUCGCUCCUUACAUCUACAAAGUCAUCAAGAUGUUGCCCGAAUUCUCCGAGCUUGCCGGGGUUGAAGUGACGGUUUGGUUUUUGGUGCAUCUAUUUGCCCCUGGCUUUUAUAGGGGUGAUGUUGAACCUUCGUCACUAUGGAUGUAAGUUCUUGUUGGUAAAGAUGGACGAGACGUCCAGACAUCAAUUCUAGCUUGAUUUCUUUUAUUUUAGGAAUGAGGACGUCUUGGCUAACGUCGACGGCUUCCCUAAGGCUUGGGACUACACACAUGAAUUCCAGUUUUUCUCUUUUUUCCUUUCACUCCUCUUUGCUUAUAUUGAGCUUGUUAAAUGAUUUUUCUUUCCUUGCAGACAACAAUGAACCUCCUUAUCUAGUCGUGUACACUGCCAACUGGGUUGAACAGAUUUUCCCUCAUACCGUAGGGAUUCAUGACUAGCCGAGCUUCUUUAAGAAGUUAAGAUCGGCUAUCCCUUUAGCAUGUAAAUUCUCUUUCCUGGGCGUGAUCGUUGCACCUUUUUGUUGUAUGUAGGAUCACUCUGCUAACUUCUAUGUCUCUUUCUUUCCUAGUUAGGGGGUUUUCUUGAAGGAGUUGGGCGUCUGUGCCCUCUUUUCGGAGGGGGAGUACUGUGUCUUAAAUUUCUUCCCCCGUCGUGGCUGCAGGGCCUACUGUACCUACCCCCUCCUGGUUGUUGCGGCUUGUGGUUCCACCUCUAUCUUGUCUAUCGCUCCCUCUCCUCAUCUCUUUUCACUAGUUGAUGAGGAUGAUGACAUCUUUGUCACUCUCUGAACCCGGGGGCGAGACCGGUACCUGGUGCCUCCCUUAACCUAGUGUACCAACUUGCGACUGAGGGAAUUUGAACAUACAAUGUCAUACAUUUUCCAUGGCACCACAUUGUAAGAUAAUUUGUGAAACAAAAGAUAAAACUUAAUAGAAGCUAGGUCUGACUGAAUAUCACUAUAAACCUGGGUCGACAAGGCUAUCAUAAUUAGUACAAUUGACAAACAAACAAAUAUAAUAUAUAUAUACACACACACACACACACACACACAUACACACACAAGACCUACAAACCCAACAUACUGCACUAACUAACUGGAUAUGCCUACAAGCCUCUAUUGAUGGAUGUAUUGCGAUUGGAAUAGGUCCCAUACAUACCCAUAAUAUAUAUACACAUAUACACAAUAUGCACUCAAACCCUAGAACUUGCAACUCCAAAGAACGUGGAGCUUACCGAUCAAGCUGAACAUGAACAACACCUAUGAAGGAGGUCUAUGAGGCUGUCUAUCUAAACCUACAUGCAUGAAAAACAACAUCCCCAAGAAUGAGCGUCAGUAUGAAAUAAUGUACCGAGUAUGUAAGGCAGUAGAAUAACUGAAAGCUGAAACUAAACUGAUAAUAUAAUAACUAAAAGUAAGUUACCUGCUAAUACUAACUCAACUCUCUAAAUAUAGUAAGUAAAAUAGUUGUUCGGCCCUAUAAGGCUCGAAACAUAUAACUGGUCGGCUGUAGUAAGCUCGUUCAUAGGCGCUCAACCAAACUAAGCUCGAUAUCUCAGCCGUUCUGGGCUUGCUCAUAGGGGGUCGACCACAGUAGACUCGGUAUAUAAUGUACCAUUUGAUCAAAGGUUGCCCAGUAGGGGCCUGCCCACUGAUUAUAGCUCAGUAGUGGUGCAAAUACUGUAAUACUAUAUAUAUAUAUAUAUAUAUAUAUAUAUAUAUAUAUAUAUAUAUACCCUAUCAAACACUUGUAGUUACGAGAUCAUGUCAAAAUGAAGGAAAGUUUUAGCCUUAACAUACCUUUUCACAAUCUUUCCAACAACCACGUUGAACUUGUAUUAUCGCACCUUAAUCUACAUCAACGAUAAUAAUACUAUCAUUAAGUUAUAAAAGAUACCACUAUCGCAUAACAAUUGAUAGACUUAUUUUAUAUUAAAACGGACAACAUCUCCCCUAUGAUCUUCACUUCCUCCAAAUUCAAUAUAACACAAGAAAACAACUAUAACAACAUAUAUACAUUAUUUUCCAACCUUAUAUAAACAACAAGAUACUACAAAACAUCCCAACACACCCCAAUCUCUUCAUAUACAAAACGACCACAAUAGUAGUGCCAAACAGUACAAAAAUAUUAUGACGAAUGACCAGCCCACCACCCUUCAUUUAUAUGGUGUUUAUCCACACAAUUUCUCCUCCAAAACUCCCUAAAACAGUAGCAAAACAUGCAAUCAAACAACAACAAAAAAAAACAACCCUCAAAAUAGUUCACUACAAGUUGAAUAACUCGAACUCACGACUUCUGAUCACCAUCCUAUGAGUUCUUAUAACUAUAGAAUGACUUCCCGUACAUUUCCAGCAGAUAACAAUGGAUGAAAAAAAGGAUUUAAACUUACCUUAUUUGUUGAAUAACUCAGCUCCUAUCUUGGUUCUUCAAACUCUAGGUUUUUCCUUAAACUAGAACUUGAAAAGUAGAGAAAUUCAAUUAUGGUUUGUGUGGAACUUUUUGGGAGGAGUUUUUCAGGGGUUAGAUCUGGUAAUUAUUCCCUGUUAUCAGUGUAAUAUAUGAAGGAAAUAGUCCAAUUCAGCCUUAGUACACUCAAGAUCUCUAAGAAAUAUUAGAACAUAGGAGAAUUUUCAAAGGAAGCUUUUGUGAAUACUUAAUUGUUUUGCUUGGUGAGUUACCAAUGAAUAGCCCUCUUUAUAUACUAGUAUCCUAGGGGAUAGUACGCAAAAAUUAAUUGUUACAUAAGUUUUUAAUAUUUACAAGUAAGUCCCUUCUCUAGAAUUUUCUGCAUAGCUAGAAUCUUCUAUGGACUUUCCUAGAAAUUUCAGAAAAUUGUAAGGUCUUCCAUGAGAAAUCUUCAUAUUUCCUCUAGGUUCUUCCAACAUAUGUUAAUCUAUUUCAUAUGGCAAAAAUAUAUGUUAACUGGCACCUAAGUGGCAUGAUGAUGUGGUAGGCCAUGACAUCCUUAGACUUAAGCUAAGCGCACGUGCGUCACUUGAAAAUUUCCUUAUGAUCUUGAUGUGCCAAGUCAUCUUACUACACUAAAGAUCCGCUAAGGGAUUAUUUAAACACAAGAGAAUUGCUAGAGGAAGAUUUUGUCUUGGAGAGAACUUGAUUGUUUUGCUUUAUGAGUUACAAAUGAAUAUCCCACAUUAUAUAAUAGUCUCCUAGGGUCUAGUGAGUAAUUAAUAAUUAUUACACAAGGCCCUUAUUAUUUACAACAAAUUCCCUUAUCUAUAAUAUUUUACAUAGCUAGUCUUCGAAGGACUUUCCUAGCAAUUCCAUAAGGUUUUCUUCCAUGAGAAACCUCUGUAUUUCUCUAGAACAUUCCUACAUGUGCAAGUCUAUUUCAUAUGUAAGCUUCUUAUAUGUCAGAAUAUAUGCCAUGUAUCACCUAUGUGUCAUGAUGAUGUGGCGGGCCAUGACACUCUCCCACACCUAAUUUUGUGCCUCCCUCGGGAUAAAUCAUUGACACGAAUAUGCGCACCUCGUAUGUCAUCGAAGAUAUUUUCUUAUUAACUAUGAUGAUCUAUGGAGCGGUUCUCCUUCCAUGUGACAAGGUACUUGUCACCUUUCUUCUUGCACUGUCUGUAAUUUGGACGACUACCAAUGAUGUCCUCGAUCCUUCGCUCAUCGGAUGCCUCUUCUUGCUCUUGGCCUGAACCUCUCCAUGACUCAACCAAGUCUAGUAGCAUCUUAAGCAUUCGGUCAAUGCUUUCAUUCCCUAAUAGGCUUCCUUCCAUUGUCCCAACCUUACUACCAAACUUAACCCCUCUAUUUGGUGUGUCGUCUAAUUCUGAUAGUGUGCCAUCACUUUGUAUAUUUCCAUCCUCUUCAACUAUGUCCAUCCAUUUUUUCUUGCUUUUACUAUGGUCCAUUUAUAUAGUGCAAAGAUACUCUUUGGAAUCUCCUACUUUUGGAUUAGAUUCCAAGCGCAUCCCCCUAAUGUAGGCGGUCCCUUCUGUGUCACCUUUGUGUUCCUGAGCAAGGUUUCCGAUCUUUACAACAAGCUUCUCCAAGUUUAGACAUUCACUUGAUCGAUGUGUUCAUUUACAGAUGUAGCAACCGCCCUUAGGCAAAUACUCACUAUCAUUUUUCGACCCCUUGCCAUUUCUCUUGGACCCCUGUCUAUUAUGGGAUGGCCCCAUGCGAUAUACCUUGUAUACCUCCGGUAUGCUUUUCCCCUUGUCCUAGUCAUGAUUUCCCUCACCCCUCUAAGCAUUGCCUUAUUUAGACUUGGCAGGCUCAAUCUUGUUUAAUGGGCGACUCGGCUACCGCUAUGGCCUCGUUCAAUUGGCUACUUGAUGUAUUCUUAACUCCUGUUUUUUCCGAUUUUGCAACCCAUCUAUGCAUUACAAGAAGGAAUCUUCCUCGAACAGUGAUGAUAUUUGCACCAAUAAGGUAGUGAACUCAUUCACAUACUCUCAAAUUAUGGCUAUCUGUCGAAGCUCCCUUAGCUUUGGCCUAACCUCGUACACCACAUUCAUCGAAUAUCAUUGCUCUUCAACUCCUUUUUGACUGCCCUCAUGCCUCAAUCUUGCAUAACCCUUUUUUCCAUGUUGGCAAACUUCUGAUGCCACCCCAUCAUGACAACCUCGGUCAAGUACAUUGAGGUGUUGCACAGCUUAACAACUUCGUCAUCCUCCUUGACUACCUCAAAGUACUUGUCCAUCCUCCAAAGUAAGUCGUCCACCUUGCAUGCGUCUCGAGCACUAUCAUACGCCUUUUUCUUAGGGACCUUCACAGUUAUCACUUUUGCAAGCACCAUGCCCUUGUAAUCCCAAACAUGGUUCCCUACAUAGCUUCCCUCCCGCAAUCUCUUGUAUUCUUUCUAACAUUCUUUUAGUCAUAACUUUUGCUAUGAUACCACGUUGUCACAUCUUUAGACUUAAAUAAAGUGCACAUGCGACACUUGAAAAAUUGCUCAAGAUCUUGCUAUGCCAAGUCAGUCUUACUACACUAAAGAUCGUUAAGGGAAUAUUAGAACACAACAGAAUUCUUAGAGGAAGAUUUUGUAUUAAAGAGAACUUGAUUGUUUUGCUAUAUGAGUUACAAAUGAAUAUCCCCUUUAUAUACUAAUCUCUAGUAAGUAAAUAAUAAUUCAUACACAAAGCCCUUAUUAUUUACAAGUAAAUACCUUCUCUAGGAUGUUUAUAUAGCUAGAAUCUUCCAAGGACUUUUCUAGCAAUUUCCAUAGGGUUCUAAGGUGUUCCAUGAGAAUUCUCUGUACUUCUCUAGAUCCUUCCUAUAUGUGCUAGUCUAUUGAAUAUGUAAGCUUCCCAUAUGUCAUAAAUAUAUGCCAAUUAUCACCUACAUGGCAUGAUAAUGUGGUGGGCCAUGACAUACAACAACAAUAAUAACAUACCCAAUAUUAUUCUACACCAUGGGAUCUAGGAAGGGUAGUGUGUAUGCAGACCUUACCCCUACCUUAUGAGGAUAGGGAGGUUGUUUCUAAUAGACCCUCAGCUCAAGAAAGCAUAAGCACCAUAGUAAUAAAAAUAUAGACAAGAAGGUACAAUACCAAAAAGCCAUAUAAAAGCAGAAUAAAACAAGAAGAUAGUAAGAUAAUCAACAAUGAAAGAAAACAACAGAAACCUACUACCAACAGAAAGCGAGACUGCAUGCCAAUACUACUGUUAUGAACACUCUAGACCACCUACUCUACUACCCUAAUCCUUGACCUCUAUACCUUCCUAUCAAGGGCAUGUCAUUAGUCAGCUGAAGUUGUGCCAUGUUAUGCCUAAUCACCUCUCUCACUUCUUCUUUGGCCUACCUCUACCUCUUUGUAGGCCUUCCAAUGUCAGCCUCUCAUACCUCCUCACCAGGGCGUUUGUGCUCAGGUUCAUCACAUAGCCAAACUACCUAAGCCAAUAACCUCAUUUCUGAUCCUAUCUAACAUAGUGUUUAUGCACAUCCAUCUCAGCAUCCUCAUCUAUGCUACCUUUAUCUUCUGGACACGAGCAAUCUUGACUGGCCAACACUCAGCCCCAUACAAUAUUGUUGGUCUAACCACUAUUUUGUAGAACUUACCCUUAAGUUAUGGCGGAAACUUCUUAUCAUACAGAACAUCGGAAGUGAGUCUCCAUUUUAUCCAUCCCGCCCCCAUACAAUGUGUGAAAUAUUCAUCAAUCUCCCCAUCCCCUCUAAUUAAUAGACAAGGUACUUACAACUCCCUCUACUAGGGAUGACCCACGAGUCCAACCUCAUCUCCCCUUCCCCUUCUUGAGUCUCGCUAAUGAACUUACACUCCAAGUAUACUAUCUUAUUCUUGCUCAACUUGAAACCUUUAGAUUCCAAGGUCUACCUCCAUACUUCUAAUUGCGCAUUCACACGGUCUCGCAUCUCGUCAAUCAAUACAACAUCUGCAAAUAGCAUGAACCACAGAACCUCCCCUUAGACAUGGCACAUCAGUAUGUCUAUCACUAGAGCAAACAUAAAGGGCUGAGUUUCAACCCCUAAUACAACCCAAUCAUAACUAAAAAAUGAUCUGAAUCCCCACCCGCCAUCCUCACUUGGUUCUUUGCUCCAUCAUACAUGUCCUUAGUCAACCUAAUGUAGGCAAUAGGUACACCUAUAGCCUCCAAACAUCUCCACAAAACCUCUCUUGAAACUUUAUCGUAUGCCUUUUCUACAUCUAUGGACACCACAUGCAAGUCCUUGUUUCUCUCCCUAUACUGCUCCAUCAUUCUCCUAAUAAGGUGGCUGGAUUUUGUAGUCAAACCCCCCGGCAUAAAGCUUGUUGGAACACACUAUUAAGUCGUUAAAACUAAAAGUUAUGUUCAUCUUUGUAGGUUUUUGAUAAAUGACAAACCGACGUGGAUGGAACAUUGACAUAUGCCAAAUCGUCGUGAGUUUUUAUUGAAACGCACUUUCAUUUUCAUUAAACUAAGUUGUGUUCACUCUUGUAGGUUUGAUGAANNNNNNNNNNNNNNNNNNNNNNNNNNNNNNNNNNNNNNNNNNNNNNNNNNNNNNNNNNNNNNNNNNNNNNNNNNNNNNNNNNNNNNNNNNNNNNNNNNNNNNNNNNNNNNNNNNNNNNNNNNNNNNNNNNNNNNNNNNNNNNNNNNNNNNNNNNNNNNNNNNNNNNNNNNNNNNNNNNNNNNNNNNNNNNNNNNNNNNNNNNNNNNNNNNNNNNNNNNNNNNNNNNNNNNNNNNNNNNNNNNNNNNNNNNNNNNNNNNNNNNNNNNNNNNNNNNNNNNNNNNNNNNNNNNNNNNNNNNNNNNNNNNNNNNNNNNNNNNNNNNNNNNNNNNNNNNNNNNNNNNNNNNNNNNNNNNNNNNNNNNNNNNNNNNNNNNNNNNNNNNNNNNNNNNNNNNNNNNNNNNNNNNNNNNNNNNNNNNNNNNNNNNNNNNNNNNNNNNNNNNNNNNNNNNNNNNNNNNNNNNNNNNNNNNNNNNNNNNNNNNNNNNNNNNNNNNNNNNNNNNNNNNNNNNNNNNNNNNNNNNNNNNNNNNNNNNNNNNNNNNNNNNNNNNNNNNNNNNNNNNNNNNNNNNNNNNNNNNNNNNNNNNNNNNNNNNNNNNNNNNNNNNNNNNNNNNNNNNNNNNNNNNNNNNNNNNNNNNNNNNNNNNNNNNNNNNNNAGAUUCAAGUCUUGGCUUCUCUCUAAAAAUCAUUUUACCAAAACAUGCAUAUCAUAAACAUUUUUGAUAUACUUCAAACAAAAUGAUUUUUAACGUUUGGGCUUACGAACAAGCGGAGUGCUUACGGCCGUGGUAGCUGCGAGCCUCCUGGGUCUUGCUACAACAAGGCAAGUUUAGUUGGCGGACCACUUUUUGCCGGGGGAGGAAUCAUUUUUGUAGUAAAAAAAAGCUUAUGCACCUAGCUCGCUGGAAGCUAAGAGUCUUAUAGCCCAAAAACGGGAAUAGAGGUUUUAGUAGUUCCUUACUUAAUACACUAAUCUAUUUAUAGUCAAGCAAGCCUUUCACCUGGCUAACACAGAAAAAAGCACCAGCUGGGCCUCUCUCUUUGUUUCGAUGAAAGCCUCAACGCUCGCGUUCUACGGGGAACUUUUUUGACUAUUUACCUUCAUCAAAGCCGGAAGCAAAGGGCGAAAACUCCAAAACUAGUAAAUAAAGGGUGCUUGUGUUGUGGUUUUGAGUUCCUUGGCUUGUGUUCUAAUAGUAACCACAGGAAGAAAGCGGGGAGCAUGGUCCCUAGUCUCGUUUUUGCCGAGCCUGAUUCUCUAUGGCAUGGACGUCUUUGAUUGGAUGGAGACAGAUAUAUAGAAAGUGUGCAGUGAGGGUGCUUGUAAAUCACUAGGUAGCCAUACAACACUCGGCCCAAGCAAUGCCCAAAAGUCCCAUGCCUUUCUUGGUCGGACCAACCCAACCGGCGAUUUCCGACAAGUCUUUCUGAAUUGGAAGAGCAAGAAGCGGAACUAGAAGAAAACUUUCUUUCUCUUUAUGGAUAACCAAUUCAUUU
rnacentral:lncRNA from 1 species